rnacentral:tRNA from 1 species
AGUUAAUGAACUUGUAAAGUGUAUGUUUUGAAAACAUAAGAAAGAGCUAUAAUCCUCUAUUAACUU